GGGUCUAGGCGCAACUCCAAGUUGCCGGCGUCCCCCACUGCAGUGACCAGGGAGCCACCGAUCUUCAGUAACCCCAGACUAAGCUCCCCGCUCCCAGUGCCUGGUUCGCCGAACGAGGUGGGCAGACGGCUCGGGACCAUGACUAGAGCUGGCAUGGAGCGGUGGCGCGACCGGCUGGCACUGGUGACGGGAGCCUCGGGGGGCAUCGGUGCGGCCGUGGCCCGGGCAUUAGUCCAGCAGGGACUGAAGGUUGUGGGUUGUGCCCGCACCGUUGGCAACAUCGAGAUGUGACCUGUCAAAUGAGGAGGACAUCCUCUCCAUGUUCUCAGCUGUCCGAUCCCAGCACAGUGGCGUGGAUAUCUGCAUCAACAAUGCCGGCAUGGCCCGGCCUGACACCCUGCUCUCGGGCAGCACCAGCGGAUGGAAGGACAUGUUCAAUGUGAAUGUGCUGGCCCUCAGCAUCUGCACUCGGGAGGCUUAUCAGUCCAUGAAGGAGCGGAACAUAGACGACGGGCACAUCAUUAACAUCAACAGCAUGUGUGGCCACCGAGUCCCACCCCAGUCUGUGAUCCAUUUCUAUAGUGCGACUAAGUAUGCCGUCACUGCACUGACAGAGGGACUCAGGCAAGAGCUUCUGGAGGCCCAGACCCAUAUCCGGGCCACGGUGAGGCUGUGGUCUAGCCCUGGUGGGAAUGGCGUGGGCCCAGCCCUCCUGCCUGCGAGUGCCCAGGGAGACUUGCUGAGAGACUCUGCGCUCAACAGUGAAAAAGUCCUGGGCGCUGCUGCUCAUUACAGGGACUGUCACCUCAAAGCCAAGGGCCGGACUUACGAUUUGAGGGGGAGAGGGACUAAGGGAAAUCACACAGUGACUGUGAUACCAGCACUCUUGGCUCUUCCCUAGAAAACCACAGGACUCUGGGUAAAUCACUGAACCUCCCUAAGCCUCAGUCUUCACAUCUGUGAAAUGGAAUGAUGCUUUAAGGAACACUUUAUAAAGCAUUAAUGAAACAUAGAGGAAGGGCUCCCUCCAUGCGUAGUGCAGGGUCUUGUGAGAGUUGCCAGUUGGAACUCUCAGUGGUGACUUUGGAAGGAGGAGGAUAGUUGAGGACAUGAGGCAGAUGUCACUGUGAAGCAGGAGCCCUGUGGCCUUGAUCCUUUCCCCUCAACCUCCUCAAGGCCUAUAAAGCCCAGGCUGAGCAGGACCUCUGUUGGCCCAGUGUAUCUCUCCAGGCUUGGUAGAGACACAGUUCGCCUUCAAACUCCAUGACAAGGACCCGGGGGAAGCAGCUGCCACCUAUGAACACAUAAAGUGUCUCAGACCAGAGGACGUGGCUGAGGCUGUCAUCUACGUUCUUAGCACACCCCCACAUGUUCAGGUUGGUGACAUCCAGAUGAGGCCCACAGAGCAGGUGACCUAGUGUUCUGUGGGGAGAUCCUACCUUCUCCACCCUUCACGGCUCGCCUCCUGCCUCUGGAUUUUAGGUGUUGAUUUCUGGACUCUGCAGCUUACUUUCUAUGUCCACCCCACUAAGGGAUAGACAGCUUGUCAGACUAUUCCCAUUACAAAUGUGAAAAACUGGGCCGGGAAGAGAAGACAGAAUCUCGACUGUUCUAUCUAACUUCUUCUGAGUCCUCUUGGGGCUCCGUAACCUUUGCUCUCCUGUGCCUCUUCCUUUUGACCUAGGAAAGGGAUGUACCUAGAAGGGGCAUUGCUCUAUCCUCUUACACCCUACCCCCCACCCCUUAGGGUUGGAGCAGCAGAGACCUCAUCUUUUACCUGUGUGGUUGUCCAGGGUUCCAGGUUCCCUUCCCAACCCUCCUGCCUCCCCCCCCCCCAGCUCUCCAGCCAAGUUUUGGCCCUCACCCUGGGGUCCUUACCACGGCUACAGAGUAUCAGGGUCUGUCUCCUACUACAUUUCACUGUAACAAUUAAAGAGAGAGAUUACAACCUACUCUA